UAGGUUAUUCAUUGGUUGGUGCUGAUAGAGGAGGUUGGAUUAUGUCUAUAUAAACAACAUGCAUGUGUGACCUAAACGAGCGUCACUUCCCGGGAUCCCGUUUCGCUUCCGGUUUAUGGAUUGAGGGCUGUUGUGAUUUUGCUUCGCAGGACGAUCGCAGCAACUGUAGUCAUCUCCGUGGCUGCAGAUAUCGUGGCUUUGACGUAUUGUUCGUGGUGUGUGUCUCACAUCUGUUUAUGCGACCAUAUUCAGUCAAUACAAUGCCGUGUAUGGGCGGAUGACGACUGUUAUUUUCCCUCGUGUAUCCUGAGCUUCACCAGUUGAAUGAUUAAACUGAAACUAUACUUCGCAUUGCAACUAUGGAGUAUAAUCUUCACCUCUACUGACUCCCGG